rnacentral:lncRNA from 1 species
UUGCUGCCCUUCCUCUUCCCCAGGGCACAGAAACACUCUCCACUGCGGCCAAGGAUUUCAGGAGAGGUGGCAUCAGUGAUUCAAGACUGCUUUUCCUACCUCUUCAGUGUUUCUUUCAGUGAUACGAAGUUAAAGCCAGGGGGAAUAUCACAGAAGUGAAGUGCAAUUCUCAUCAUGUCAUAUCAAGAGCACACACUAACAACAUGACUUAUUGCUGAAUAUUGAACUUGAUCACCUGGCUGAGGUGAAUAAACUGACACUGGAACAUUCAGGAACUUCUUCAUGGUCAUGGUCACCCAGCUAGAGUGUGGAAGCCAGGCUGUCUGAUUCCAGGAUCUGUGUUCUUAAUCCUAUACAUAAGGAAGCCAUAAUGAGUCAACCACUAUUUUUAAGAUUCACAGAUGUUCGGGUCCAAUUCACCAGAAUGCCAAGUUAUACAGGGUUGUGGAAUCAAAAACUGCAAUUAGUAAUAAAAUGUGAUGCUAUCUGGAAUGUUUUUCAUACAUAUAUAUGCUUCUUGGGACUCUCCCUGCAGGUUAAGAGAAAUUGAGAAACGAUGGAGAAUUUAAGUGUUUUAGAUCCUACAUACAUUAGACUUAAAAAUAGUAACUAUGUACAUGAGUAUUUAUAAACUUAAGAAUGAACAUAACAUGAACCAUGUGGCACCUAUAAAAUGAAAAUAAAAUACCUACAAACCAAAUGAGAGCAAUAAAAGAAGCUUUGAGGACUUUCA